rnacentral:rRNA from 1 species
UACGUAGGAUGCAAGCGUUGUCCGGAAUUAUUGGGCGUAAAGAGCACGCAGGCGGCCCAUCAAGUCAGAUGUGAAAUAACCAGGCUUAACCUGGUGGGGUCAUUUGAAACUGGCGGGCUAGAGUCCAGCAGAGGAUAGCGGAGUUCCCGGUGUAGUGGUGAAAUGCGUAGAUAUCGGGAGGAACACCAGUGGCGAAGGCGGCUAUCUGGGCUGGAACUGACGCUGAGGCGCGAAGGCUAGGGGAGCAAACAGG